rnacentral:rRNA from 1 species
CCUACGGGAGGCAGCAGUGAGGAAUAUUGGUCAAUGGACGAGAGUCUGAACCAGCCAAGUAGCGUGAAGGAUGACUGCCCUAUGGGUUGUAAACUUCUUUUAUAUGGGAAUAAAAUGUUCCACGUGUGGGCUUUUGUAUGUACCAUAUGAAUAAGGAUCGGCUAACUCCGUGCCAGCAGCCGCGGUAAUACGGAGGAUCCGAGCGUUAUCCGGCUUGGUUGGGUUUAAAGGGAGCGUAGGUGGAUUGGUAAGUCAGUUGUGAAAGUUUGCGGCUCAACCGUAAAAUUGCAGUUGAAACUGGCAGUCUUGAGUACAGUAGAGGUGGGCGGAAUUCGUGGUGUAGCGGUGAAAUGCUUAGAUAUCACGAAGAACUCCGAUUGCGAAGGCAGCUCACUGGACUGCAACUGACACUGAGGCUCGAAAGUGUGGGUAUCAAACAGGAUUAGAUACCCGAGUAGUC